UAGCGGCGAACGGGUGAGUAACGCGUAAACAAUCUGCCUUCGGGUCCGGGAUAACAUCGGGAAACUGGUGCUAACACUGGAUAUUAUGACCACAUCGCAUGAUGAGGUUAUGAAACGGGGCUUCGGCUAGGCCUGAAGAUGAGUUUGCGUUCCAUUAGCUAGUUGGUGUGGUAACGGCGCACCAAGGCGACGAUGGGUAGCCGGCCUGAGAGGGUGAUCGGCCACAUUGGAACUGAGACACGGUCCAGACUCCUACGGGAGGCAGCAGUAGGGAAUAUUGCGCAAUGGGCGUUGAGCCUGACGCAGCGACGCCGCGUGAGUGAUGAGGGCCUUCGGGUCGUAAAGCUCUGUCAGCAGGGAAGAAGGUAGAGUAUGUGAAUAAUGUGCUUUACUUGACGGUACCUGCAGAGGAAGCCCCGGCUAAUUACGUGCCAGCAGCCGCGGUAACACGUAAGGGGCAAGCGCUGUCCGGAAUCACUGGGCGUAAAGGGAGCGUAGGCGGUAAAUUAAGUCAGAUGUGAAAGUUUGCGGCUCAACCGUAAAACUGCAUUUGAUACUGGUUUACUAGAGUACCGGAGGGGAAAGCGGAAUUCCUGGUGUAGCGGUGAAAUGCGCAGAUAUCAGGAAGAACACCGAUGGCGAAGGCAGCUUUCUGGACGGUAACUGACGCUGAGGCUCGAAAGCGUGGGGGGCGAACAGGAUUAGAUACCCUGGUAGUCCACGCCGUAAACGUUGGGUACUAGGUGUGGGAGGUACCGACCCCUUCCGUGCCGGAGUUAACGCAUUAAGUACCUCGCCUGGGGAGUACGCCCGCAAGGGUGAAACUCAAAGGAAUUGACGGGGGCCCGCACAAGCGGUGGAACAUGUGGUUUAAUUCGAUGCAACGCGAAGAACCUUACCUGGGUUUGACAUCCUCUGCCAACUUUAGAGAUAGAGUUUUCCCUUCGGGGACAGAGAGACAGGUGCUGCAUGGCUGUCGUCAGCUCGUGUCGUGAGAUGUUGGGUUAAGUCCCGCAACGAGCGCAACCCCUAGAUGUUAGUUGCCAGCGGGUAAUGCCGGGCAGUCUUGCGGAACUGCUGGUGUCAAACCGGAGGAAGGUGGGGAAGAUGUCAAGUCAUCAUGUCCUUUAUAUCC
rnacentral:rRNA from 1 species